rnacentral:rRNA from 1 species
UAGGGAAUCUUCCACAAUGGACGCAAGUCUGAUGGAGCAACGCCGCGUGAGUGAAGAAGGUUUUCGGACCGUAAAGCUCUGUUGUUGGUGAAGAAGGAUAGAGGUAGUAACUGGCCUUUAUUUGACGGUAAUCAACCAGAAAGUCACGGCUAACUACGUGCCAGCAGCCGCGGUAAUACGUAGGUGGCAAGCGUUGUCCGGAUUUAUUGGGCGUAAAGCGAGCGCAGGCGGAAGAAUAAGUCUGAUGUGAAAGCCCUCGGCUUAACCGAGGAAUUGCAUCGGAAACUGUUUUCUUGAGUGCAGAAGAGGAGAGUAGAACUCCAUGUGUAGCGGUGGAAUGCGUAGAUAUAUGGAAGAAUACCAGUGGCGAAGGCGGCUCUCUGGUCUGCAAACUGACGCUGAGGCUCGAAAAGCAUGGGUAGCGAACAGGAUUAGAUACCCUGGUAGUCCAUGCCGUAAACGAUGAGUGCUAAGUGUUGGGAGGCUUCCGCCUCUCAGUGCUGCAGCUAACGCAUUAAGCACUCCGCCUGGGGGAGUACGACCGCAAGGUUGAAAC